rnacentral:rRNA from 1 species
AACGUGGGGAACCUGCCCCAUAGUCUGGGAUACCACUUGGAAACAGGUGCUAAUACCGGAUAAGAAAGCAGAUCGCAUGAUCAGCUUUUAAAAGGCGGCGUAAGAUGUCGCUAUGGGAUGGCCCCGCGGUGCAUUAGCUAGUUGGUAAGGUAAAGGCUUACCAAGGCGAUGAUGCAUAGCCGAGUUGAGAGACUGAUCGGCCACAUUGGGACUGAGACACGGCCCAAACUCCUACGGGAGGCAGCAGAG